GAUAGCCUGGGGGGAGCAUUUGUUUGUACUGCGUGCUUGAGAGUGGCUAUCAUUUUUGGGGGGUAGCAGAAGGUUUGGAAAAUAUAAAAAAAGCAAGACCACCAAGCUGUGACCUUCUUUUACCCUUAUUCAACAAUACAAGUGUAUUUUUCUGUAAUAUGUAUGUAGAUGUUUCUGAAUGGAGCAUUCAGAAUGCAGGCACCGUUGUGUGUGUGUUUGGGGGCUUUCAAUCUUUGGUCUCUUUCCAACUCGGCUACUUUUUCUACCCUGGUCGGCUCUUCUGUAACAAUUCACUAAGUUUGGGUCUCCUCCUCUUGCUUUUUCUCUAGGCUGAAAUGGUCCCAAUUUAGUGCCCUUCUGAAGUUCAGAGUUUUCCAUGCUCUUCAUGGCAAGCUCCAGUGUUUCCAGUUACCCUGACUUGCAGGCUCUGGUAACCAUGAUGCUGUGAGAAGCUGAAAGGGAACUGAUGCUGUGAUGAGAUAAACCACUCAGGACUUGGUCUUGGAGCUUCCUCCCCUCCCUUUUGCUCACGUGUCUACUCUCCCUGUAGGGGCUUCAGAGUCAGACAAUCUGAAAUGACAUAAUGGACUAACCUGAAGAUUUCCUGAGGCUUUAUGUUUGGACCUCCUCAAUAACCUCAAAAAAAUCUGGGGACCUGUGACUUCUUUCCAGGGACUGGAUCAUUGGAUGAUACAAUCCUGCUCCAACAAGGGUAACCAGUAGCUGAAAAGAGUUGCAUCCCAUACUCAGAGCUUGGCCAUUUUGAGCAUUUGAGGAAAUAAUCCCAAGGGACUAAACAUGAAGGAGGUGAUCUCUGGUCUGGUCUUAAGGCACCUGCUGUGUUUAUCCCAAAGCCCCUUUUUGGUGGAGAUUGUCCUGGGGAUAACUGGUAAUAUUUACUCCCCUUGCCUUCACCCCCAGCCCAAGAAACAACUGAUGAAUACAGAGCAAUGUCAAGCAAUUCAUUUUAAGAAUAAAUGCUGUGGCCCAGAAACAGAGCAUAAAGUUAAUUACAUGAUGUAUAAUCUAAAAGUGGGAACUAUUGAUACCAUGGAAUCUCACUGGAGUCAGGUAAUGUGUGACUGAGAGGUGGUCCCCAAAUGAGUGUCGUGAAGUCUUCAUACAUCUUGAAUUAAAAGUGUAUCUUAAAGAUUAGUUGAAAAGCUAAAAAAAUUGGUAAGUGGGCAGUUUUUGUAAUGAUUUGGUGGGUGUAAGGCAGGAAAUUUUACCUAAUUGGACUUUAAAAAGUCCAUAGAAUGAAAAUGCUAAUAAAUAGUAAUAAUAAUGAUAAUGUAUUAAUAACAUGUUAGCAGAAGGAAGAUACUUUAGAAUGAGUUUGACUAACUUUAAGAAAUUUCUUGGUAGCCUUAUGAUUUUGGACAUGGGUUUAUUAUAAAAUGGUUGUGAUUAUUACGGGGAAAAUUGAACCCUCAAGUAUCAGACAUUUUAAAAUGUAAGAUUUCUUUUUAUAGGUUUCUGUGAUGAAUUGUUAACAUAGGACUAUUUUAAAUAACUAGUUCUUAAAUAUAGCCCUAGAUUGUAUGAUAAUAAAAAUGUAAUAUCAUUUUUAAUAAUCUUCAGAGGACUAUUACCAAAGCUCCUUUUUCACAGGAGAUGAAAGAAAUUCAAGCUCUUAACUUGCCUAAAUCUGGGAAUUGCUGGGACCAGGAGCAGUUCUUCUGAACCCUGGGUCAGUGCUCACUGUGUUUUGAUGACUGAAAAAAAUGCUUGUGCUUUAUUUAGGUUGCUCUUGAAGAAAACCUAGAGCAUUAUAAGUAUUCUUAGCUCAGUUCCAGGUUACAAAACAACACAUCAUUAUUUUUUGACAUUUCCUGGUGAAUGAAUUCAACAUAAUUCUUCAUUUUAUUCUAUCAUUCAUUUUACUCUCUGAAGUCUAGGCACCAUUUCGUGUUCUGUCUGUGGAAUUUAUCUGGUUCUUUUUGCCUUGUGUUUCAAGCUGAGGGAAUUCCUAUGUUGCUUCUAUGAGAAAAGUCACUUCAUCAUUUAUUGAACAUAUACUGAAAACAGGUAAAGCUGGCAAAAAAUUGAGUGUGAGCUUCAUGUAUUUAAAAAGCAUUUAGAAUAAUGGGAAUUCUUACUUGGAAAAGCUUUGAGGGAAUUAUUUUUUCAUGUAAGGAGGUUUUGUCUAAUAGGCAGUGGGGUAUAUGGGAGCAUGGAGCUUGGGAUACAGGUAAGGUGGAGGUGCUAACUUGGGAACCUUUAGCAGGGGAUCAGCCAUGUAGUGGUGAGUCUAGAUGGAGAAGACAGAGGAGUUUGAGAACCUCAGUGGGCCACAUGCCGAUAUAGAGCAGUGUUCCUCUCCCCAGCUCCACUGUAGAAUCACCCUCAAGACUGUCAAACACACAGUGGUAACUGGGCCUCCUCCCUGGGGCUCCCGACUCAGUUACCUGGUACAUAACCUGGGCAUUAGCAUGUUAGAGGCACUUCCCAGGUGGUUCUAAUGUACAGGUGGGGAUUGAGAACUCCUGUUUCAGAAGUGAGGAGGAGGAAGGGAACCCUCAAAGGAGACGAGUAGACAGAAAGAGAAAUGAAGAAGAAUGAUGUCUUGGAAGCCAAAUGCAGGAAGUGCUCAGGGAAGGCAGGUGGGACAACUGUGCCAAACGCUGCUGAUACAACCCACAUUCUGAGAAGGUCAGUGUGGAGGCCACUGCCGAUCCCAAUGAGGGCAGUUCCUGGGGAGCGGGAGGCAUGCAAGUCGAAAUGGAGUAGGUUAGAGCUUGAGAAAGGAGAAUAUAGACAAUGUUUCAGAGCAGUUUUGUUUUAAAGGAGAACAGAAAUGAGGAUGUUCUUAGGAAGAGUUUGAAGUUAAGGGACUUCAUUGUUUUUUCAAGAUGGCAAAAAAAAAAAUCACAGCACACUUGCAUGCUUAUGGGGAUGAUACAGUUGCAAGGCGGGUAAUGAAUGAAGAAGAACCUGAGAACAGUUGAAGGAGAUGUUGAGUCCAAGAGGAGGGGCUUCAGAGACCAGCGGAAACAAGGAGGAAGGCAGCACACAUAGGAGCCAGAGCAGCUGAGCUGAUGCUGAGGCCCCGCCGUGCUGUGCAGAGAGGACGUUGGUUGAUGUGAGCCGAGGGUGGGAGCAACUGGAGGUCUGAAAAGAGGGAACCUUGGAAACAGUUGCCCUGAGAGACCGGAAUGGAGGUGGGAUGGAUGGGCAGCUUUAAGGGCUCAUUUGAAGUGUGCGGUCCUGAAAUGAAGUGAGACCAGUGACCACGGUGGACUGGUUUUUCUCCAUAUGUCCCACUUCUGUGGGCAGAGGUGUAGACAAGGCUGAAAGUUAAAUUUAAGCAGUGAGUCUUUAUUUGGUUUUUAUUCCAGUUGGGUGUGAUGAAGGGGGAGAUACGCUGAGCACAUUUGCAGGGGAAUAUGUACAAUGAUUGGGUUUGGAGUCUAAGCUGUAGAAGGAGGCACGUGAGGAUACGAGAGAGCAGGUCCGUGGGCUUGUGGCCCCCAUGGGCAGAAGGGUUCUGGGAGGAAGGCAAAAGGGGAGGUGAUUUGGCAACAUAGGAAUUGGUGUUUAGCAAGUGAAAUGCUUGAAAUUAAGAUUAUGGAAGAAGUGCAGCUACUUACAUAGCAAGUCCCCUGCAUACGAAUGAGUUCUGCUUAGAGAGCGUGUUCAUAAAUCCAAUUUGUUCAUAAGACAUACAAAGUUAGCCUUGGUGCCCAGCUAACACAGUCAGCUACAUAGUACUGUCCUGUCAUAGGUUUAUAAUACUUUUCCUACAAAUAAUACAUACAUAAGAAACAAACACAAAAAAUAAAGAAAAUAUUUUUAAUAUUACAGUACAGUACCUUGAAAAGUACAUUAGUACAGUACAACACCUGGCAUCCAGGGGCUGGCAUCGAGUGAACAGGUAAGAAGAGCUGUUGCCUGGAGGAGGGAGAGGAGGUGGGAGAUUUCAGGGAAAAAGUCCAAAUCCCAUAAAACCAUUUAAGAAAUAGAUAAUUUAUCUUUUCUAGAUGCUUUUUCUUUGCGUGAACUCUGUAUAUUUAACAAGACUUUAGGAUUAUGGGAAUUACUAUGAGCCCUGGCACCAUCUUGGUCGUCUUGUCUCCAGCUGAGGUCAAUGCCGAGACACAGAGGGGGACCUGGUGGAGAGAACUACAUAGGCCUGGACGGGAGCUCUCACAUCACCCCAGGACGUGCCCUAUCUUGGUACUUCUUGCUAUAUAUGUUUCUAAUUGAGAACAGAUGUGCCCCUGGACAUUUUGAAGAAACUGUUUCUGAGUGUGGUGUCUGCUUCUCCAGACCAAGCUCCCAGAUGUCUUUUUUCCUACUCCCUGCGGAGGUGACUGCUCUCAAUCCCUUGUUUAAGGAUCUGAAAGGCCAGCUGUUGUGAAUGAAGAGUGGAAAAGCCUCACAUCCAACCAAGGAAACGUGUUCUGAAGGUUUUGCACACCAACAGUGAAGUGUUGCUUUGAAUUCUUUUAAAAUCAAGGUUUAAGACAUUUUUUGCUUUGUAAAACUGAAAGAGGAAUUUGUACACCUUUCAUGGGAGAUUUAAGUUCUUUACUGAGCUAAAGAAUCUGCCCUCAAUGUGAAAGACCUGAGUUUGA